CUCUCUGAAGUUUCCCUCAAGAUAGCUUGCGCUCGGUUGAGACGAGUCUCAUCCGGUAGAGCGAAUGAUUAGAGGCCUUGGGGUCGAAACGACCUCAACCUAUUCUCAAACUCCAAAUAGAUGAGAUCUCCGGCUUUCUUGAAAGUGAAGCCGCGGGAAUCGGAUCAGAGUGCAAAGUGGGCCAAUUUUGGUAAGCAGAACUGGCGCUGUGGGAUGAACCAAACGCAGAGUUAAGGCGCCUGAAUCGACGCUCAUGUGAACUUAAAUAAUAAAAGGGAGAUGAUUAUGAUGGUGAUGAAGAUACUAGGAAGAGGG
rnacentral:misc_RNA from 13 species